AGCGUACACGGUGGAUGCCCUGGCAGUCAGAGGCGAUGAAGGGCGUACUAAUCUGCGAUAAGCGCCGGUAAGGUGAUAUGAACCGUUAUAACCGGCGAUACCCGAAUGGGGAAACCCAGUGUGAUUCGUCACACUAUCAUUAACUGAAUCCAUAGGUUAAUGAGGCGAACCGGGGGAACUGAAACAUCUAAGUACCCCGAGGAAAAGAAAUCAACCGAGAUUCCCCCAGUAGCGGCGAGCGAACGGGGAGGAGCCCAGAGCCUGAAUCAGCAUGUGUGUUAGUGGAAGCGUCUGGAAAGGCGCGCGAUACAGGGUGACAGCCCCGUACACAAAAGCGCAUGUGCUGUGAGCUCGAUGAGUAGGGCGGGACACGUGGUAUCCUGUCUGAAUAUGGGGGGACCAUCCUCCAAGGCUAAAUACUCCUGACUGACCGAUAGUGAACCAGUACCGUGAGGGAAAGGCGAAAAGAACCCCGGCGAGGGGAGUGAAAAAGAACCUGAAACCGUGUACGUACAAGCAGUGGGAGCACAGGUUUACCUGUGUGACUGCGUACCUUUUGUAUAAUGGGUCAGCGACUUAUAUUCUGUAGCAAGGUUAACCGAAUAGGGGAGCCGGAGGGAAACCGAGUCUUAAUUGGGCGUUAAGUUGCAGGGUAUAGACCCGAAACCCGGUGAUCUAGCCAUGGGCAGGUUGAAGGUUGGGUAACACUAACUGGAGGACCGAACCGACUAAUGUUGAAAAAUUAGCGGAUGACCUGUGGCUGGGGGUGAAAGGCCAAUCAAACCGGGAGAUAGCUGGUUCUCCCCGAAAGCUAUUUAGGUAGCGCCUCGUGAAUUCAUCUCCGGGGGUAGAGCACUGUUUCGGCUAGGGGGCCAUCCCGGCUUACCAACCCGAUGCAAACUGCGAAUACCGGAGAAUGUUAUCACGGGAGACACACGGCGGGUGCUAACGUCCGUCGUGAAGAGGGAAACAACCCAGACCGCCAGCUAAGGUCCCAAAGUCAUGGUUAAGUGGGAAACGAUGUGGGAAGGCCCAGACAGCCAGGAUGUUGGCUUAGAAGCAGCCAUCAUUUAAAGAAAGCGUAAUAGCUCACUGGUCGAGUCGGCCUGCGCGGAAGAUGUAACGGGGCUAAACCAUGCACCGAAGCUGCGGCAGCGACACUGAUGUGUUGUUGGGUAGGGGAGCGUUCUGUAAGCCUGCGAAGGUGGCCUGUGAGGGUUGCUGGAGGUAUCAGAAGUGCGAAUGCUGACAUAAGUAACGAUAAAGCGGGUGAAAAGCCCGCUCGCCGGAAGACCAAGGGUUCCUGUCCAACGUUAAUCGGGGCAGGGUGAGUCGACCCCUAAGGCGAGGCCGAAAGGCGUAGUCGAUGGGAAACGGGUUAAUAUUCCCGUACUUGGUGUUACUGCGAAGGGGGGACGGAGAAGGCUAUGUUGGCCGGGCGACGGUUGUCCCGGUUUAAGCGUGUAGGUGUGUGUUCCAGGUAAAUCCGGUUCACUUUAACACUGAGGCGUGACGACGAGGCACUACGGUGCUGAAGCAACAAAUGCCCUGCUUCCAGGAAAAGCCUCUAAGCAUCAGGUAACAUCAAAUCGUACCCCAAACCGACACAGGUGGUCAGGUAGAGAAUACCAAGGCGCUUGAGAGAACUCGGGUGAAGGAACUAGGCAAAAUGGUGCCGUAACUUCGGGAGAAGGCACGCUGACACGUAGGUGAAGUGAUUUACUCAUGGAGCUGAAGUCAGUCGAAGAUACCAGCUGGCUGCAACUGUUUAUUAAAAACACAGCACUGUGCAAACACGAAAGUGGACGUAUACGGUGUGACGCCUGCCCGGUGCCGGAAGGUUAAUUGAUGGGGUCAGCGCAAGCGAAGCUCCUGAUCGAAGCCCCGGUAAACGGCGGCCGUAACUAUAACGGUCCUAAGGUAGCGAAAUUCCUUGUCGGGUAAGUUCCGACCUGCACGAAUGGCGUAAUGAUGGCCAGGCUGUCUCCACCCGAGACUCAGUGAAAUUGAACUCGCUGUGAAGAUGCAGUGUACCCGCGGCAAGACGGAAAGACCCCGUGAACCUUUACUAUAGCUUGACACUGAACAUUGAGCCUUGAUGUGUAGGAUAGGUGGGAGGCUUUGAAGUGUGGACGCCAGUCUGCAUGGAGCCGACCUUGAAAUACCACCCUUUAAUGUUUGAUGUUCUAACGUGGACCCGUUACCCGGGUUGCGGACAGUGUCUGGUGGGUAGUUUGACUGGGGCGGUCUCCUCCUAAAGAGUAACGGAGGAGCACGAAGGUUGGCUAAUCCUGGUCGGACAUCAGGAGGUUAGUGCAAUGGCAUAAGCCAGCUUGACUGCGAGCGUGACGGCGCGAGCAGGUGCGAAAGCAGGUCAUAGUGAUCCGGUGGUUCUGAAUGGAAGGGCCAUCGCUCAACGGAUAAAAGGUACUCCGGGGAUAACAGGCUGAUACCGCCCAAGAGUUCAUAUCGACGGCGGUGUUUGGCACCUCGAUGUCGGCUCAUCACAUCCUGGGGCUGAAGUAGGUCCCAAGGGUAUGGCUGUUCGCCAUUUAAAGUGGUACGCGAGCUGGGUUUAGAACGUCGUGAGACAGUUCGGUCCCUAUCUGCCGUGGGCGCUGGAGAACUGAGGGGGGCUGCUCCUAGUACGAGAGGACCGGAGUGGACGCAUCACUGGUGUUCGGGUUGUCAUGCCAAUGGCACUGCCCGGUAGCUAAAUGCGGAAGAGAUAAGUGCUGAAAGCAUCUAAGCACGAAACUUGCCCCGAGAUGAGUUCU
rnacentral:rRNA from 1 species